UGGAGAGAUAGGAUCACCUGUAAAAAUGAUUUUAUCCUGAAUAAAGUAGACUUUGAGUCCCAUCUUGAUGCUACAAGCACAGAAUGGGAUAGAAGGGUGGCAACUCCUGAUUGUAAAAAGAUGAGGCAUGAUGGUGAUCAAGGAGAACCAUUGAGAAGCUCCUCCCCUCUACCUUAGAGCCAUAAAACAGAAAUUUGGUGAUGCCCAAAUGAAUAAGAGGUGGUCUCAAAUAAGGCUCUACUCGAAUAAAAAAAAUUGCUUGGAUUCCAAGAGAAAAGUUCACAAUGUAGAGGGCAAUGUUGAAUGAACUAAGGCUUGGUUGAUAUUUGUACAAAAUUGAAAUAUUUGCAAAUUUGCUUGUCAAGUAGCUGUCAAAUUGACUAAAAUGCCAACUGAGAUGAGUGAUAGUGAGCUUUAAUUCU